UGCUCCUGGGCUUCUGAGCCUCACCCUAUGAUGAGAACUCUUCCCCUAGGAGCUCUUCUGGAAUGCUUGAACUGUGUUGACACCUUAGUUCAUUUGUGUCUGCCUUGUUGGCUCAGGAGAGCUCUUGCCUUGCCCGUCUCCAAACCACAACAAAAGGCUGGAGGAGGAGGCAGCAGCUGCCAUAUGGCAUAAUGAAAAAGAUGGUGACUUCAAAACAGCUGGAUGCUAAUCACACCUCUGCUAGCAUCACAAGAGCCCCUCGAGUGGAAAUGGGGCUGGAUCCUGCACAUCUGGAAGUGACUGGGAAUCCAGUGACUACAUCUCAAACUGCAGAUGUUUUUCCCAUACUGGUGUCAGGACCAAAGGUCAUACUCAUGCAUCUGCUCUAUUUCCAUGCUUUGUAUAUCUGGGUAAACAGUUACUGCUUAAUCAAUGUAGAUGCCCAUGAAGCAAGGCAGUGGCCUGGCAAGGGAGAGCACGCAGAAUCUGAUGAGGCACUCAAAGGCUGCACCAUUGAAAAGGUGGAGGACUACCUAGAAGAGUGGAGCAGCUUCCCCUGAGGACACUCGCAGGGGAGUGGAGACUGGGAAGGGACCAGCAGGGCCUGCAAACAGCACCACAGCUUCCUGCCAGCCACAGAUGUAGCUGGACAGUGUGCUCGACCUGAAAUGCCCAGCAGACAGCCUGGAACAGAAAUCCGGCUGCGACCCAAGCCAGCACACACAGGGAGCCAGAGCUGUCGGCCAGCUCCCUGAGCCCGCACAUGUUGGAGGAAGGCCCCUGUCCUGAAGGCAGCCGGACAGGAUAGGACAUGCUCACCACACCAGUUCUGAUGUCAGAAUGAAUGAUCCAGCCAGAUGACAGGGCUUUACGACAACAUCACCAGC
rnacentral:lncRNA from 1 species